rnacentral:rRNA from 1 species
AACGAACGCUGGCGGCAUGCCUAACACAUGCAAGUCGAACGAGACCUUCGGGUCUAGUGGCGCACGGGUGCGUAACGCGUGGGAACCUGCCCUUAGGUUCGGAAUAACUCCCCGAAAGGGGUGCUAAUACCGGAUAAUGUCUUCGGACCAAAGAUUUAUCGCCUUUGGAUGGGCCCGAGUUGGAUUACCUAGUUGGUAGGGUAAAAGCCUCUUAAGGCGACGAUGCAUAGCUGGUCUGAGAGGAUGAACAGCCACACUGGGACUGAGACACGGCCCAGACUCCUACAGGAGGCAGCAGUGGAGAAUAUUGGACAACCGGCCAAAGUCUGAUCCAGCAAUGCUCCGUAAGUUAUGAAUGCCUUAGAGUUGUAAAGCUCUUUUACCCGUGACUAUAAUGACAGUACCUGAAGAAUAAGCACCGGCUAACUCCGUG